GAUGAACGCUGGCGGCGUGCUUAACACAUGCAAGUCGAACGAUGAAGCCCAGCUUGCUGGGUGGUUUAGUGGCGAACGGGUGAGUAACACGUGAGUAACCUGCCCUUAACUCUGGGAUAAGCCUGGGAAACUGGGUCUAAUACCGGAUAGGAGCGCCUACCGCAUGGUGGGUGUUGGAAAGAUUUAUCGGUUUUGGAUGGACUCGCGGCCUAUCAGCUUGUUGGUGAGGUAAUGGCUCACCAAGGCGACGCCGGGUAGCCGGCCUGAGAGGGUGACCGGCCACACUGGGACUGAGACACGGCGCAGACUCCUACGGGAGGCAGCAGUGGGGAAUAUUGCACAAUGGGCGCGAGCCUGAUGCAGCGACGCCGCGUGAGGGAUGACGGCCUUCGGGUUGUAAACCUCUUUCAGUAGGGAAGAAGCGAAAGUGACGGUACCUGCAGAAGAAGCACCGGCUAACUACGUG
rnacentral:rRNA from 1 species